rnacentral:rRNA from 1 species
AACGAACGCUGGCGGCAUGCCUAACACAUGCAAGUCGAACGAGACCUUCGGGUCUAGUGGCGCACGGGUGCGUAACGCGUGGGAACCUGCCCUUAGGUUCGGAAUAACUCCCCGAAAGGGGUGCUAAUACCGGAUAAUGUCUUCGGACCAAAGAUUUAUCGCCUUUGGAUGGGCCCGCGUUGGAUUAGCUAGUUGGUAGGGUAAAAGCCUACCAAGGCGACGAUCCAUAGCUGGUCUGAGAGGAUGAUCAGCCACACUGGGACUGAGACACGGCCCAGACUCGUACGGGAGGCAGCAGUGGGGAAUAUUGGACAAUGGGCGAAAGCCUGAUCCAGCAAUGCCGCGUGAGUGAUGAAGGCCUUAGGGUUGUAAAGCUCUUUUACCCGGGAUGAUAUGACAGUACCGGGAGAAUAAGCGCCGGCUAACUCAGUG